GGGCAACUGCGGCACUACCAACCCCUGUGAACAUACCAAUUGUUGCCUCGGCGGAUCAGCCCGCUCCCGGUAAAACGGGACGGCCCGCCAGAGGACCCCUAAACUCUGUUUCUAUAUGUAACUUCUGAGUAAAACCAUAAAUAAAUCAAAACUUUCAACAACGGAUCUCUUGGUUCUGGCAUCGAUGAAGAACGCAGCAAAAUGCGAUAAGUAAUGUGAAUUGCAGAAUUCAGUGAAUCAUCGAAUCUUUGAACGCACAUUGCGCCCGCCAGUAUUCUGGCGGGCAUGCCUGUUCGAGCGUCAUUUCAACCCUCAAGCCCAGCUUGGUGUUGGGACUCGCGAGUCAAAUCGCGUUCCCCAAAUUGAUUGGCGGUCACGUCGAGCUUCCAUAGCGUAGUAGUAAAACCCUCGUUACUGGUAAUCGUCGCGGCCACGCCGUUAAACCCCAACUUCUGAAUGUUGACCUCGGAUCAGGUAGGAAUACCCGCUGAACUUAAGCAUAUCAAAGUCCCGGAGAAA
rnacentral:rRNA from 1 species